GUAUAGAACCUACCUUUUACUGGAGAAUAGCCCAGAGAAAUUUGGAUUAAUGCUCCAUGGUAUUAUUUAAUGGCAUCAUUUAAUAAUUAAAGAUUUAUCGGUAAAAGAUGGCUAUGCGUUCUAUUAGCUAGUUGGUAUGGUAACGGCAUACCAAGGCGACGAUAGAUAGGGGUCCUGAGAGGGAGAUCCCCCACACUGGUACUGAGACACGGACCAGACUCCUACGGGAGGCAGCAGUGAGGAAUAUUGGACAAUGGAGGCAACUCUGAUCCAGCCAUGCCGCGUGUAGGAAGACUGCCCUAUGGGUUGUAAACUACUUUUAUAGAGGAAGAAACCGCUCUACGUGUAGAGCUCUGACGGUACUCUACGAAUAAGGAUCGGCUAACUCCGUGCCAGCAGCCGCGGUAAUACGGAGGAUCCAAGCGUUAUCCGGAAUCAUUGGGUUUAAAGGGUCCGUAGCGGGUUUGUAAGUCAGUGGUGAAAGUUUUCGGCUCAACCGGAAAAUUGCCAUUGAUACUGCAAGUCUUGAAUCGUUGUGAAGUGGUUAGAAUGUGUAGUGUAGCGGUGAAAUGCAUAGAUAUUACACAGAAUACCGAUUGCGAAGCAGAUCACUAACAAUGUAUUGACGCUAAGGGACGAAAGCGUGGGUAGCGAACAGGAUUAGAUACCCUGGUAGUCCACGCCGUAAACGAUGGUUACUAGCUGUUCGGAUUUCGGUCUGAGUGGCUAAGCGAAAGUGAUAAGUAACCCACCUGGGGAGUACGUUCGCAAGAAUGAAACUCAAAGGAAUUGACGGGGGCCCGCACAAGCGUGGAGCAUGUGGUUUAAUUCGAUGAUACGCGAGGAACCUUACCAGGGCUUAAAUGUAGAUUGACAGGUUUAGAGAUAGACUUUUCUUCGGACAAUUUACAAGG
rnacentral:rRNA from 1 species